rnacentral:lncRNA from 1 species
CUCAUGCACAGUUAAAGAUACGCUCUCUGCAAACCUGGCUCCUCACCUUAUUCGACGCCGAGAGGGAUAGCCAAAGAAAGCGUCUAAGAGUCACACCAGAACUCGCAAGUCAACUGCAAUGGUGGACAUUCCUCCCACAUCUCUUAGUUGGCAGACCUUUCAGGCCUAUUCAACUUACCAGACAAGUCACAACAGAUGCAAGCCCAUUGGGUUGGGGAGCCCACUGCGAGGGGCAUCAGAUCAAUGCCCUAUGGUCUCCAGAGGAGUCUGCACUACACAUCAACCAUUUGGAGAUGUUGGCGGUCAUAAAGGCCGUCAGAGCUUUUCUCCCCCUGGUGAAGGGCAGAGCCAUACAAAUAGUCACAGACAAUACCACCACAAUGUUCUACGUGAACAAGCAGGGAGGCACAAGAUCAAAGUCCCUCCUGUCUCUCACUGUGCAUCUUUGGGAGUGGUGCUACCAACAGCACAUCUUUCCGGUAGCCAUCCACAUUGCGAGUGCAGACAAUCAUCUAGCGGACGACUUGAGUCGCCGCUCAACUCAAACUCGCGAAUGGGAACUGAAUCAAGAGGUCUUUCUCACACUCUGCCGGGUGUGGGGUCAGCCUCUAGUGGACAUGUUUGCGACCCACAGCAACAAGAAGUGCCUACGUUACGCUUCCCGGGCCGGAAGGGGAGAAGGCUCCCUAGGGGAUGCUUUCAUGAUUCCAUGGAACGUGGGUCUAGUCUACUUGUUUCCGCCACUGACUCUUCUCCAGAAAACUAUUGUCAGGGCUUUGCGGAUGAGGACAGAAGCAAUCCUAAUCGCUCCCUGGUGGCCACGUCGACCGUGGUUCUCCACACUGUUUCAGAGUGCCAUAGACAACAUGACAUUGCCGUUACAUCCACAUCUCCUCACUCUGAACGACAGGAAGAUUCUACAUCCGGACUUGGAAACCCUCCACUUGACAGCGUGGAGGAUUUCCCAUCAUUAAUUGAAGUCAUUGAUAAAGCUCGUAAACCAGCAACGAAGGUACUUUAUCAAUAUAAAUGGAAAAUUUUUUUGAAGUUUGCUAAGGAGCGUAACCUACAAUCGUCCCCA